rnacentral:ncRNA from 1 species
UAUCUUCAGGGCAGGGUGAAAGUCCCUACCGGCGGUAAAGCCCGCGAGCCGUAAGGCAUGAUCCGGUGAAAUUCCGGAGCCGACAGUAUAGUCUGGAUGGGAGAGGAUA